rnacentral:rRNA from 1 species
CAUAGGUUAAUGAGGCGAACCGGGGGAACUGAAACAUCUAAGUACCCCGAGGAAAAGAAAUCAACCGAGAUUCCCCCAGUAGCGGCGAGCGAACGGGGAGGAGCCCAGAGCCUGAAUCAGUGUGUGUGUUAGUGGAAGCGUCUGGAAAGGCGCGCGAUACAGGGUGACAGCCCCGUACACAAAAAUGCACAUGCUGUGAGCUCGAUGAGUAGGGCGGGACACGUGGUAUCCUGUCUGAAUAUGGGGGGACCAUCCUCCAAGGCUAAAUACUCCUGACUGACCGAUAGUGAACCAGUACCGUGAGGGAAAGGCGAAAAGAACCCCGGCGAGGGGAGUGAAAAAGAACCUGAAACCGUGUACGUACAAGCAG